GAUGAAGAACGCAGCGAAAUGCGAUACGUAAUGUGAAUUGCAGAAUUCAGUGAAUCAUCGAGUCUUUGAACGCACAUUGCGCCCCCUGGUAUUCCGGGGGGCAUGCCUGUCCGAGCGUCAUUGCUGCCCUCAAGCACGGCUUGUGUGUUGGGCCUCCGUCCUCCUCCCGGGGGACGGGCCCGAAAGGCAGCGGCGGCACCGCGUCCGGUCCUCGAGCGUAUGGGGCUUCGUCACCCGCUCUUGUAGGCCCGGCCGGCGCUUGCCGACACAUCAAUCUUUUUUCCAGGUUGACCUCGGAUCAGGUAGGGAUACCCGCUGAACUUAAGCAUAUCAAUAAGCGGAGAA
rnacentral:misc_RNA from 1 species